rnacentral:misc_RNA from 1 species
AACGCACAUUGCGCCCUUUGGUAUUCCGAGGGGCAUGCCUGUUCGAGCGUCAUUUCAACCCCUCAAGCCCUGGCUUGGUGUUGGGCCGCGCCAGCAUGCUGGCGGGCCUUAAAAUCAGUGGCGGUGCCGCUGGGGCUCUAAGCGUAGUAGCACAUCUCGCUCUGGAGACCUGGCGGUUGCUUGCCAGACAACCUUCACUAAAACACAAGGUUUGACCUCGGAUCAGGUAGGGAUACCCGCUGAACUUAA